UACGGAGGGGGCUAGCGUUGUUCGGAAUUACUGGGCUUAAAGGGUUUGUAGGCGGCCUUGUAAGUCAGGUGUGAAAGCCCUCGGCUCAACCGAGGAACAGCGCUUGAUACUGCAAGGCUUGAGGGAGACAGGGGUAAGCGGAACUGAUGGUGGAGCGGUGAAAUGCGUUGAUAUCAUCAGGAACACCGGUGGCGAAAGCGGCUUACUGGGUCUCUUCUGACGCUGAGGAACGAAAGCUAGGGUAGCGAACGGG
rnacentral:rRNA from 2 species